GUGAAACUCAAGAUGGAAGAGACUUUUUCAUACAGAAGACAUGAAGUUGUUCGUGAUGUACCAAUGGUGGGAGGCGUUCAUGGCAAGAUGGCCUGCUCUAUUUGAUUUCCAUGAGAUCAACGCUGAGUUUAAGAGAAUUGCCACCAUCCCCCCUCAAACAAAGUUCCUGGCUCAGCUGGAUCUCCACUUGGACAACCUGGGGAAGUUGGUCAACAGAAGAGGAGAGCUUGGACUAAUACUGGAAAGAAUUGUGGCACAAAUGGAUAAUUGUGAAGAUGUUGAUGCUGGACGUGAGUGUGUCAAGGGAGUGUGUAUCUACAUGGGUGAAGACCCUGGCAUGCUUAUCCGGGAGUAUGUGGGCAUGGAAGAACGUGCCAUCAAUGAGACUGCUGAAGACACCACUGUUCGAAUUUAUCUUCUUAAAGAGCAAGCUUCAGCAGAAGAACAAGAGUUGUCCUUGCAGGCAUCAGGGUGGCGAAGAAUUUGGAUAAUGUAGCAUUUGCUGUGAUAAUGCUAUUUGGACUCAUGUAUGCAUUAAACCUUGCCUACCCUGCUGAC
ensembl:lncRNA